rnacentral:rRNA from 1 species
GGUUAAGCGACUAAGCGUACACGGUGGAUGCCCUGGCAGUCAGAGGCGAUGAAGGACGUGCUAAUCUGCGAAAAGCGCCGGCGAGGUGAUAUGAACCUUUGACCCGGCGAUGUCCGAAUGGGGAAACCCAGUGCAAUUCGUUGCACUAUCGUUAACUGAAUACAUAGGUUAACGAGGCGAACCGGGGGAACUGAAACAUCUAAGUACCCCGAGGAAAAGAAAUCAACCGAGAUUCCCCCAGUAGCGGCGAGCGAACGGGGAGCAGCCCGGAGUCUGAAUCAGCUUGUGUGUUAGUGGAACGGUCUGGAAAGUCCGACGGUACAGGGUGAUAGUCCCGUACACGAAAAUGCACAGGUUGUGAACUCGAAGAGUAGGGCGGGACACGUGGUAUCCUGUCUGAAUAUGGGGGGACCAUCCUCCAAGGCUAAAUACUCCUGACUGACCGAUAGUGAACCAGUACCGUGAGGGAAAGGCGAAAAGAACCCCGGCGAGGGGAGUGAAAAAGAACCUGAAACCGUGUACGUACAAGCAGUGGGAGCCUACUUGUUAGGUGACUGCGUACCUUUUGUAUAAUGGGUCAGCGACUUAUAUUCUGUAGCAAGGUUAACCGUAUAGGGGAGCCGAAGGGAAACCGAGUCUUAACUGGGCGUUAAGUUGCAGGGUAUAGACCCGAAACCCGGUGAUCUAGCCAUGGGCAGGUUGAAGGUUGGGUAACACUAACUGGAGGACCGAACCGACUAAUGUUGAAAAAUUAGCGGAUGACCUGUGGCUGGGGGUGAAAGGCCAAUCAAACCGGGAGAUAGCUGGUUCUCCCCGAAAGCUAUUUAGGUAGCGCCUCGUGAAUUCAUCUUCGGGGGUAGAGCACUGUUUCGGCUAGGGGGCCAUCCCGGCUUACCAACCCGAUGCAAACUACGAAUACCGAAGAAUGUUAUCACGGGAGACACACGGCGGGUGCUAACGUCCGUCGUGAAGAGGGAAACAACCCAGACCGCCAGCUAAGGUCCCAAAGUCAUGGUUAAGUGGGAAACGAUGUGGGAAGGCACAGACAGCCAGGAUGUUGGCUUAGAAGCAGCCAUCAUUUAAAGAAAGCGUAAUAGCUCACUGGUCGAGUCGGCCUGCGCGGAAGAUGUAACGGGGCUAAACCAUGCACCGAAGCUGCGGCAGCGACGCUUAUGCGUUGUUGGGUAGGGGAGCGUUCUGUAAGCCGUUGAAGGUGGCCUGUGAGGGUUGCUGGAGGUAUCAGAAGUGCGAAUGCUGACAUAAGUAACGAUAAAGCGGGUGAAAAGCCCGCUCGCCGGAAGACCAAGGGUUCCUGUCCAACGUUAAUCGGGGCAGGGUGAGUCGACCCCUAAGGCGAGGCCGAAAGGCGUAGUCGAUGGGAAACAGGUUAAUAUUCCUGUACUUGGUGUUACUGCGAAGGGGGGACGGAGAAGGCUAUGUUAGCCGGGCGACGGUUGUCCCGGUUUAAGCAUGUAGGCGGAGGUUCCAGGUAAAUCCGGUACCUUUUAACGCUGAGGUGUGAUGACGAGGCACUACGGUGCUGAAGUAACAAAUGCCCUGCUUCCAGGAAAAGCCUCUAAGCAUCAGGUAACACGAAAUCGUACCCCAAACCGACACAGGUGGUCAGGUAGAGAAUACCAAGGCGCUUGAGAGAACUCGGGUGAAGGAACUAGGCAAAAUGGUGCCGUAACUUCGGGAGAAGGCACGCUGAUAUGUAGGUGAAGCCCCUGCGGGUGGAGCUGAAAUCAGUCGAAGAUACCAGCUGGCUGCAACUGUUUAUUAAAAACACAGCACUGUGCAAACACGAAAGUGGACGUAUACGGUGUGACGCCUGCCCGGUGCCGGAAGGUUAAUUGAUGGGGUUAGCGGCAACGCGAAGCUCUUGAUCGAAGCCCCGGUAAACGGCGGCCGUAACUAUAACGGUCCUAAGGUAGCGAAAUUCCUUGUCGGGUAAGUUCCGACCUGCACGAAUGGCGUAAUGAUGGCCAGGCUGUCUCCACCCGAGACUCAGUGAAAUUGAACUCGCUGUGAAGAUGCAGUGUACCCGCGGCAAGACGGAAAGACCCCGUGAACCUUUACUAUAGCUUGACACUGAACACUGGUCCUUGAUGUGUAGGAUAGGUGGGAGGCUUUGAAGCGUGGACGCCAGUCUGCGUGGAGCCGCCCUUGAAAUACCACCCUUUAAUGGCUGGUGUUCUAACGUAGACCCGUGAUCCGGGUUGCGGACAGUGUCUGGUGGGUAGUUUGACUGGGGCGGUCUCCUCCCAAAGAGUAACGGAGGAGCACGAAGGUUAGCUAAUCCUGGUCGGACAUCAGGAGGUUAGUGCAAUGGCAUAAGCUAGCUUGACUGCGAGAGUGACGGCUCGAGCAGGUGCGAAAGCAGGUCAUAGUGAUCCGGUGGUUCUGAAUGGAAGGGCCAUCGCUCAACGGAUAAAAGGUACUCCGGGGAUAACAGGCUGAUACCGCCCAAGAGUUCAUAUCGACGGCGGUGUUUGGCACCUCGAUGUCGGCUCAUCACAUCCUGGGGCUGAAGUAGGUCCCAAGGGUAUGGCUGUUCGCCAUUUAAAGUGGUACGCGAGCUGGGUUUAGAACGUCGUGAGACAGUUCGGUCCCUAUCUGCCGUGGGCGCUGGAGAAUUGAGGGGGGCUGCUCCUAGUACGAGAGGACCGGAGUGGACGCAUCACUGGUGUUCGGGUUGUCAUGCCAAUGGCACUGCCCGGUAGCUAAAUGCGGAAGAGAUAAGUGCUGAAAGCAUCUAAGCACGAAACUUGCCCCGAGAUGAGUUCUCCCUGAGACU